rnacentral:rRNA from 1 species
CCUACGGGAGGCAGCAGUGAGGAAUAUUGGUCAAUGGCCGAGAGGCUGAACCAGCCAAGUCGCGUGAGGGAAGACGGCCCUACGGGUUGUAAACCUCUUUUGUCGGGGAGCAAAGCGAGUCACGUGUGACUCAUUGAGAGUACCCGAAGAAAAAGCAUCGGCUAACUCCGUGCCAGCAGCCGCGGUAAUACGGAGGAUGCGAGCGUUAUCCGGAUUUAUUGGGUUUAAAGGGUGCGCAGGCGGAGGUGCAAGUCAGCGGUCAAAUUGCGGGGCGCAACCCCGUACUGCCGUUGAAACUGCAGCCCUUGAGUGCGCGAGAAGUAUGCGGAAUGCGUGGUGUAGCGGUGAAAUGCAUAGAUAUCACGCAGAACUCCGAUUGCGAAGGCAGCAUACCGGCGCGCAACUGACGCUCAUGCACGAAAGCGUGGGUAUCGAACAGGAUUAGAUACCCGAGUAGUC